CUGCUAAGGAUUUCUUGGAGGCCAGCACUGAAAAGCAAAACGUUGUUCUGAUGAGUGGUGGUGAAGCAUGAGAGGAACAUGGGCAAGAAAGCAGAGAUCAGCAGUUGAAUCUACAAUGCAGACCCUGAAAUCUUCAGCGUAGUAGCUGGAACGGAGCCGAGUGACAACCAGCUGCAGGAGAAGGGGCCUGAAAGCUUGUAGGUGAUCACAGGGAGAGGCAGAGCAGCAGCUGAUCUGAUGAGGUGAUUAAGAAUCAAGCACCCAUGACAAAUAGCCCUACCAAGGAAGGUAGCUUUUGUGAGAGCAGCUUGAGUUGGUCCUGAGGCUCUGUUCAGGUGUGGUGCGUAUCUGCUGCGGUGACCCGCAGAGAGCCUGUUGCCAAGGACGCCUUCAGACAUCGUUGAUGCAGACUGUUUCACAGAGUUUGGGUGUUUGGAUAGAUUCGGAGUGCUCCCUGCUGCUGUCACAAGCUGCGUAAAGGAGGUCUGCCAGCCUGGGCGCAUCGGGAAUCACCACCCAAGUGCACUGAGCAGGUGCGGUUUUCCUCCAGCCGUUGUCAGCCAAGUUGAGCUUGAGGACGUAGCCCAUGAGUGUAAUAACCGGAACCCGGCCCUGGUCCUGCAGUGAGUUCCCCUUUGAUAAAGCUUCACGGUUCCAGGAUUUCAAAGGACACAGUUAUUCUGAUAAAAGGAAGUGAUCCUACUUCAUUUUAUUACAGAUGGGCACUGUCUGCGGUCUGAACGGUGGCUGCUGCCUUCAGAUGAUCCAGAAUAAAACUGCUUACCGUGAUGCUGUUGUUGGAUCCAAAGAGCAAGAAGCACAGGUGAUACACCUUAGUGUACAGAUAGAGGGUUUCCCAUUGUUUCAACACCCAGAUUAGAGCCUCUUUCAUGUGGGAAAUGUGUCUCCUCUAUGAAGAGCUGCAGAAGCUUGCCCAGAGCAGACACGAAGGAAGAGCCCUCAUGUGGUAGUUUCCCUCUCGGAGUCUGGUCACCCUCACCAACAGAGAAUUGAAAUGAGGAGCCAGCAGUGUGCCCAGCUGGCCAGAAGGGCAACGCCAUCAGAAACAGCGUAGCUGCGGGACCAGAGGAGUCAUCCCUCCCCUGUACUCAGCAUCUCCAAUCCUGGGCUCGGGUUUGGGUCCCUCACUACUAGAAGAACACUGAGCUAACUUUAGAACCUGAAGCAAGCAGAGAAUUAGGUGGGUUCAGUGCUGCAUCCAUCAGGUUCAGCGGAUUCAGCCCAGUGUUGUCAGAAACGUUCACAACCUGCGCCCUAAAUCAUCAUCAAAUGGAUCUUGGGCUUUUAGUUAAUCGUGCAGAUACUUUGGGGGGUUUUAUUUGCCCUGUGGGUCUGGAAGCCUUUUAGAGAUGCCUCAAAACUCUAAAACCCGAUGAGAUAAUGUGUGGUAAGCAGAAGACUCCCAAAGCAGCGCAUUUGUGUCCGUCCAUUGUUACAAGCGUUCCACUAAAGUGGAAGGAACGGCAAAUGCUCCACACUCACCGCAGUGAAUUGUAGUGGAACUGCAAGAGGAGAGAGAGACAAAUACAGGUACUUACAGGAAUACAACCCAAUUGCUGUGGUGGCAUUUAGUGACCACAAACAGAACAAGGAAUGCUGCAGGAGAAGGAGGCGAGGCAAAGCCUGUUCUCCGAACUGUUGCCAGUUCAGGAGCAUGGCAGUUUGGGAAGGUAUGAAGCUGCUAAGCCUUGUGCAGCAAAUUUCGUUCCUUAACUUCUUCUGGUGCAGAAAUUUCAGUAAAGGUGGGCUCUCAGGGGCAGGGUUAAGUGUACAUAAUGAUCUGGUAGCUCAGUGAAUCCAUUGUAAGGAAUUGAUAACUGGUAAAAUAAGCAUAGCCCAUGCAGCAUGCUGGGGAAGAAGAGUGCCGUGUACUCUGCUAUUAACUGACUCGUUGAAAUAGCAGGUUUGGUUUCAUUUCUCCCCAAGAUUAGAGGCUAUAAAACCCACCACCCCUUGACAGUAAAAACAAAAGGUGCGUAAAGGAGGGAUAAUGGUUCACAAAAUGUAUCAUGCUCCUUCUGACAAAUAGUUUAAUUCCCAGCAAACAUGCAAACAGCUUGCCUUUAGGUGGUGAAGUAACUUGUGGUCAUUUAGCAUCUUUGUCUUAUGGUUUCCAACUCCACUGAAGCAAUUCAUAAAUAGGAAACACCAGCACAGCCCCCAGCAGCAUCUUGCCCAGAGGAACAUCUGUGCUCCAAGCUGCUUACUGUAAUACUAAACAGUACAAAUCUGUUGAUUUGAUAACACAAUGUCAAAUGGUAAAUCUGGAUCAGCCUUCCAUAUAUCCAAGAUUAAGUAUUUCUGAGUCAAAGCCUUCAACUCCAUUAAAAAAGAAAUAGCCCUUAAUUCUAAUCUUAAUGGAGUAGUGUUAGUGUGGAGUUACUUUGCUGAUUUCACAGAUGUUACAUCAUCUUUAUUAAAGGGUAACUGAGAUGACUGAGACACGUCAGUCAGCCUGAGCUCUAAUUCAGCUGCAGCUCUGUUAGUUAAUUUUGAUACCGAGUAAAGUCACCCUUGUAACUGCUCAGGAAAAUUGGAGGUGCACAGGAUUCAUCGUGGCACUGUUUCCUUGCAAGGAAAACCUCCUGUACGCUGACUACGUGUUUGAAAAAUAUACAGCUGUCUACAGACUAAAUGAGAAAUGUUAAAAAAACAGGCUAGUAAAUAUGUCAAGACUAAACAAUUACACUUAAAUAUGAAUUUUAUUUCUAAGAGUAUUUUCCUAGAAAUUAAUAAUGAGAAUGAGGACAUAUAGUAAAAGCAGCAGUUGAGAUGGAGAGUGCACAAGAAUAUGAAGUAUCUGGGGACAGGGUGUGGAAUAUUUGCCAUUUGCUGCAUGCUGCCCUUGAUGGCUUACACACACCCAUCUUAAUCAUAUCAUGAGGAGGAAAAGCCACAAACGCAUUUGAGGAACGUGUGUGUGAAUUUUCUCCUUCCCUCAAAUUCCUUAGCUGGUCUCAUCUCCUAUUGAAUCUCCACUGAAGAAUGAACAAAAUGAAGCCAGUGUUGUGUAACAUUCAGGGUAGCUUCAACUAGAGACAGCUCAGAAUGUGCUUCAGCGCUAGAGAAGGUGCGUCAUUGCUAAAACUCAGCGCAGUCGCUCUCUACAUCAACACUUCCCGCCCCUUCCUUUCUAGUUCAUAAGCCUUUACCUGCUCACUGGAAGAGGUUGGCUCCCUAACCCCCCAACGUUUAAGCAAAAGAAGCCAAUAGCUAUGUUUUCACAUGGAAUUCAGUAUUUGGGAGGGGGCCCUGGUUCACCUCUCUUAUGUGGUCAGACUCACCAGGAGGCCGAGCAUUUCCACCCCACUGGCUGGAAGCCUGGCUUUAUCUGUAACUGCGAAACCAAAAGUUAACAAGUUACAGAUGAACGUACAGGCUUGUUGCCUCUGUAAGCACUGCCACUGAAUUCUGAACAGACUGUAACUCCCAUGUACAGAUUGUCAAUUGAUAGCAAACACUGCAAAAAAACCACUGACCACGGACCUCGCAUAGCUUUAGGGGGGUUAAGUAUCAGGCCCCAGGUAGGAAGGCAUGUGUUUGGGUGCUGUGCAGGUGUAACUGGAAUCACAGCAUCAUAAAUAGAACUGUACAAAACCAAACUCCUGUUCAAGACUAUAAUUUCAAUCUGCCUGUCUUGCCACACCAUCACUCUCUUCAAGUAGCAUCAAGAGAUGCUACUUCCCAGCAUAAUGCCUCUUCCCUUCAGUAUGGUAUCACCUACGUGCGGAUGUUUCCACCUGUCUGCAGACACUGGCACAGCAUCUCUCCAAGCCCUAAAAUCCACUCUGGCCUUGUUCCUUCAGCUCACCCCAGCGUCUACACAGACUACAGAUCUGUGAAGUACUGAACGGGGCAGAGAAAUGCUACUGAGUCACACCUACGGAUCUAGCAGGACUUUAUUACAGGUAUGACUGAGCCUCUGCUCUGUUCCUGAGCAACAAGAGGUAUGGCCAAGUCUGCAGGAAGCAAGGCUAGGAGCUUUAACAACCAGUGCAUUCAAGUGGUCGUCCCCAUGCUGGUGACGAUUUGUGCACCAAGAUACUCCCACUUCUAUUUCUGCAGUGUGAUACAAUAGGCUACAAGCACCUGCAGUAAGAUAACUGCUGUCUUCAUUUUAUGCUCUCGCACAGUUUUGGACAUGUGCUUUCUAACUUCUAGCUGCUUGCGCCACCAGAAUAGAAAAGUAGCUCAUGAUUUUUUCAUGAAAGCAGCCUAUUGUUUCCAAGAUGGAACUAGAACCUUCAACUUCAAUUUGUAAUUUUUUUUUCCCCUUGAGAAGGCGUAAGGUUAUUUUUUUUAAUGGAGGCUUACUUCAAUGCGAACUUUCAAAAAGGUCAUUUCUUGCUUUUAAUUCAACCCAAGAAUGUUUCCAAUU